rnacentral:rRNA from 1 species
CCUANGGGAGGCUGCAGUGAGGAAUAUUGGUCAAUGGGCGAGAGCCUGAACCAGCCAUCCCGCGUGCAGGAAGAAUGCCCUAUGGGUUGUAAACUGCUUUUGUGCAUGAAGAACACCUCCGACGCGUCGGAGGCUGACGGUAAUGCGUGAAUAAGCACCGGCUAACUCCGUGCCAGCAGCCGCGGUAAUACGGAGGGUGCAAGCGUUAUCCGGAUUUAUUGGGUUUAAAGGGUGCGUAGGCGGCUAUUUAAGUCAGUGGUGAAAUCCUGCAGCUCAACUGUAGAACAGCCAUUGAAACUGAAUAGCUUGAGUGAUCUUGAGGUAGGCGGAAUGUGUAGUGUAGCGGUGAAAUGCUUAGAUAUUACACAGAACACCGAUUGCGAAGGCAGCUUACUAAGGAUUUACUGACGCUGAUGCACGAAAGUGUGGGGAUCAAACAGGAUUAGAUACCCCANUANUC